rnacentral:rRNA from 1 species
GGACUACCAGGGUAUCUAAUCCCAUUCGCGACCCACGCUUUCGUGCUUCAGUGUCAGUAGCGGACCAGUUUGCUGCCUUCGCUUUCGGUGUUCCCCAUGAUAUCAACGGAUUUCACCCCUACACCAUGAGUUCCGCAAACCCCUCCCGCACUCGAGUCUUGCCGUUUCCCCUGCAGAUUUUCGGUUAAGCCGAAAGGUUUAACAGGAGACUAACAAAACCACCUACGCACCCUUUACGCCCAAUGAUUCCGGAUAACGCUUGAGGCACUCGUAUUACCGCGGCUGCUGGCAC